GCCCGAGUGGCGGAAUGGUAGACGCAGCGGAUUCAAAAUCCGCCGGUAGCAAUACCGUGGGGGUUCGAGUCCCCCCUCGGGCACCA
rnacentral:tRNA from 1 species